CGCACGAGCGCACCCCUGCCAUUAGUUACCAGCAGUUCGGCUGGGCACUCUAAUGGGACUGCCGGUGUUAAACCGGAGGAAGGUGGGGACGACGUCAAGUCCUCAUGGCCUUUAUGCCCAGGGCUACUCACGUGCUACAAUGGUCGGUACAGAGGGUCGCGAACCCGCGAGGGGGAGCUAAUCCCAGAAAGCCGGCCUCAGUUCGGAUUGGAGUCUGCAAUUCGACUCCAUGAAGGAGGAAUCGCUAGUAAUCGCGUAUCAGAAUGACGCGGUGAAUACGUUCCCGGGCCUUGUACACACCGCCCGUCACACCAUGGGAGUGGGUUGCUCCAGAAGUAGAUAGUCUAACCCUCGGGAGGACGUUUACCACGGAGUGAUUCAUGACUGGGGUGAAGUCGUAACAAGGUAGCCCUAGGGGAACCUGGGGCUGGAUCACCUCCUU
rnacentral:rRNA from 1 species